UUCCUACAAAUAUAAAAAUAAAAGGUUAAUGCCAUGUCUCAAUUUUUAAACAUACAUUUUUUUAUCAAUCACAAAAGGAAAAGGGCAAAAAAAAUCUUUACAACAAACAGAUUUGAAAUGUCUUAACCAGAGUCCCAAGUGGCAAUCAGUCAGAUAUUGAUGAUAAGUGAUAACCAAUUUCCCAAUGCACAACAGAACAUUCCCCAGCCAUGGAACAAAUAAAUACAGUUCGAAUUGAAAUCAUGAUGAUAACAAGGUUAAGAAUUGGUAUGUUCAAAUUUAUCAAACAAAUUCACCAAAUCAAACCAGCUUGAGUAAGAAUCAUUCCCACUGGUUAAAUACUGUGAGAGCAACUCCAACAGUUUGGGAUUUUUUAUUUCCCAAAUCUUGGUGUUUGGCAACUCCCCAAAUGUUUUAGCAAAGAAAAAAAAGGUCAAUCUCCAAUAGUAUCCCAUAAUUGACUUGCCAAAUGAAAAGCUAGGCCCACAAUGUUGUUGUUUGCCAUGGAAAACUUUCUUGCGCUCGCGAACUCCUUCACCUAAGCACGCGAAACACCGCUGCCAUCACGCAUCUGUCGUCGACGGUUCAUUCUCGGUGGCAGGAUCGUCGAAUGGGGUUGUCCUCUUUCAGCCGCCCACAAGAGCUCCCAGGCAACGUCCGUAGACAGCCAUCCACGUCGCCAACAAACCAGCAGCUAGCACAAGAAAUUUACAAUCAAGCAGACCAGUAGCUGUGGUUCAACAGACCAGCAAGGAGACAAAGCGUGCAGUCCAACAGACUAGCAAGGAGACAAGGCAGAGCAGCAGCUGUGGUCCAAAAGCCUUCGCGCGCGGGAAGAAGGGCGGCAACGCGCGCGGCGCGUGGAUGCGCAGUCGCGAGGUGCGCGCAUAUAUGCGCGCUGGUGAAGGUUUUUUGCCAACUUGGCAAAGAUGGGGAGGAGGGAUGGGAAACUAUUGGAGAGUGUUUUUUCUCAAUUUGCCAAAAAAAUAAAGAUGGGGAGGAGAGAUGGCAAACUGUUGGAGUUGCUCUGAACAGGUGUCAGCUAUGGUCUAACAGUGUUUGAUAAAUGGAAAUCUGGACCUCUGGUCUUAAUUCAGAGGCCCUAUAGAGUGCUCUAAAAGCUACCUCCUUGAAUAAUAAGUAAUAUAUAGCAAAUAGAGUGGAGUGGAACCAUGUGCACUGUUUAAAGAGAAGAUUGUAGUCAACAUUCCUAGACUGCAGGGGUGGAGGCUUAUGGAGGCGAAACUCCCCCCCCCCCCCCCCCCCUCUUCCUCUGUGCUUUGGGCCUUUGGUGCCUAGUAAUCCUAGCUUUGGUAGACUGUAAUCUCAUGAAUGCUCAGACUGCAGCAAUAGUGAUAUCUAAAAAGCUUUCAUAGCUAGGAGCAGCAAUGGUUUUUUCGAUUUGCCCCUCAAUCUUGGUUCACCCUCCGCCACUGCUAGACUGCACUAGUCUGUAACUCAUAGAAACAUGUCAAUAUACAUUUAAACCAAAAAUAACAUAGAACAAAAUAAGAAGACUAAUAUGUGCAUAGUAGAAUGACAAUUAUAGAUAACAAAAGGACCAAUACAUGACUGUUCCUGUUUCAUAACAGCAUUAAAUGUUGACAGUUCAAGUGACAAGAACACAUUGCUCAAUUCAAGUGCACCAAAAGCUUAC
rnacentral:lncRNA from 1 species